AAAAAAAAAAAAAAAUCACAGAAGCCAAGACAAGUAUACUUCUAGAAGAGAAAAUGAACUUGGCACCAAAACUUUAUUCAUUCGCCUUAGAAAUUCUGCCACCAACCUACUAUAAAAACUGUCAUUAUCUCUCAAAGUCACAGUCCUGACAUCUGUUAAGUAAAGGUUUAUUUUACACUUCAAAAGUCAAUCUACACAGCUGACUAGACUCCUU
rnacentral:lncRNA from 1 species